UGGCUCAGAUGGUAAAGCGUCUGCCUGCAAUGCGGGAGACCCAGGUUCGAUCCCUGG
rfam:Ovis aries breed Texel chromosome 16, whole genome shotgun sequence.